rnacentral:rRNA from 1 species
CGUGUAGGCGGGUACGCAAGUCGGUUGUGAAAUCCCUGGGCUCAACCUAGGAACUGCAUCCGAAACUGUGUGCCUUGAGUAAUGGAGAGGGUGGCGGAAUUCCCGGUGUAGAGGUGAAAUUCGUAGAUAUCGGGAGGAACAUCUGUGGCGAAGGCGGCCACCUGGACAUUUACUGACGCUGAGACGCGAAAGCGUGGGGAGCAAACA